GUAGGUGGCAAGCGUUGCCCGGAAUUAUUGGGCGUAAAGCGCGCGCAGGCGGUUCUUUAAGUCUGAUGUGAAAGCCCACGGCUCAACCGUGGAGGGUCAUUGGAAACUGGAGAACUUGAGUACAGAAGAGGAAAGCGGAAUUCCACGUGUAGCGGUGAAAUGCGUAGAGAUGUGGAGGAACACCAGUGGCGAAGGCGGCUUUCUGGUCUGUAACUGACGCUGAGGCGCGAAAGCGUGGGGAGCAAACAGGAUUAGAUACCCUGGUAGUCCACGCCGUAAACGAUGAGUGCUAAGUGUUAGGGGGUUUCCGCCCCCCUUAGUGCUGCAGCUAACGCAUUAAGCACUCCGCCUGGGAGUACGGCCGCAAGGCUG
rnacentral:rRNA from 1 species